UGCAGAACUAUCGGAAGAAGAACUUCUACCACGACCAACUUUCCCGCUUGAACUCCUCGUGUCUCGACUUCCUCUUCCACCGCACUUCCGUCCUUUCGCCCUCCAGCCUGAACCGAAAGUCGAGAAUCCGGGUUGUUGCGCGCAAGAAGACGAUGAAGGCGGCAAGAUGUAAUGCGUUCAAAGAGCUGAAGAGUGACAGGAACGAUGUCAGGGUGGGCAGGCAGGUCUAUUGACGCAGCGAGUCAGCGCGAACCGUCGCAAAGAAGCCUGGGUGAAGCAGGCAACAAGCGUACGUGUACGUUGAGGCCUCCCGUGAUGGUCCUCGAGGAGGUCCAAUAGCUCGAAACCCCGAUCGAUUCUGUCCCGUGUAGCACCGAGAGUGGCAAAAUCGAGCGACAAACGACGUGUCUGGCGGCGAAGGCGAUUUCGUGCGUCAGAAUCGGGGCGGGCAGGCUAUCGAAGAGAACCAUUGGUCGAAAACGAAGAUGUUCAGCCGACGGAGGGAUGCAGAUGCCUGCGAGGGUCGACGUUCGCAACUCCAGGAAGCGAAUAUUCUCUGAACCUCGCUGGAUAUUGCCGUCAUACCAUGCUCCCGCAUUGACGGCGAGCGAAGUCAAGGCGGGAACAUCGACAGCAAGAUCGAGGUCCGGGUCGUCUGUGUCGGCGCAGCGCCGAAGGUCGAGAUACGAGAGUCGCGGGAGUCGGCGAAGUAGUCGAGUGAUUGCUUUGCUGA
rnacentral:misc_RNA from 1 species